rnacentral:rRNA from 1 species
UACGGGGGGGGCAAGCGUUGUUCGGAAUUACUGGGCGUAAAGGGCUCGUAGGUGGCCAACUAAGUCAGACGUGAAAUCCCUCGGCUUAACCGGGGAACUGCGUCUGAUACUGGAUGGCUUGAGGUUGGGAGAGGGAUGCGGAAUUCCAGGUGUAGCGGUGAAAUGCGUAGAUAUCAGGAGGAACACCGGUGGCGAAGGCGGUUCUCUGGGCCUUACCUGACGCUGAGGAGCGAAAGCAUGGGGAGCAAACAGG